rnacentral:rRNA from 1 species
AGGCAGACCCAGGGAACUGAAACAUCUAAGUACCUGGAGGAAGAGAAAGAAAAAUCGAUUUCCUGAGUAGCGGCGAGCGAAACGGAAAGAGCCCAAACCAAGAAGCUUGCUUCUUGGGGUUGUAGGACACUCUAUACGGAGUUACAAAAGAAAGUUAUAAAUGAAGCGGUCUGGAAAGGCCCGCCAAAGACGGUAACAGCCCGGUAGUUGAAAUGGCUUUCCCUCCAGAGUGGAUCCUGAGUACGGCGGAACACGUGAAAUUCCGUCGGAAUCCGGGAGGACCAUCUCCCAAGGCUAAAUACUCCCUAGUGACCGAUAGUGAACCAGUACCGUGAGGGAAAGGUGAAAAGCACCCCGGAAGGGGAGUGAAACAGUU